GAGACCUUGAUAGUGGGAGAAGAGAGAAGGACACUAGGAGUAGUUGCUCAUGUGGUUUGGCUAGAAAUAACAUGAAUCUCCCGUUCCCCCUUCUUUGCCAAUUUCUUGACACGUUUUUUGGGCCGGGGAACAUCACCAGCUAUCUCGGCAUUCGGGUGAAGCCAUUUGCUUGGUGGGGGCAGCGCAACUGCAUCCUUCUUUAGAUGAAGGGUGAGCUUUUUCUUAGCCACAAUCAUCGCCACCACAUCGGCCCAUUUUAUUGUACGAAUACUAGGAAAAACUGAGCUCGAGUCAGAACGGAGUUUGAAUGAGCGAACAAAGAAAAAUAAUAGAAGUAGAUGUAUACCUUGGGCCGUUUCUUUGGAUUUUGGAGUGAAAGUCUUUUUGGGUCGAUCGCCACAAAGUUUCUUUGAGAUUUCCUCUGUCGAAGUAUUGAAGAAAUCCUUGAUGUAAGCAUCCCACUAGUCGGCAAAUGUGCUGGCACAUCGGGAUUCUGGAGUAUUCAACUGAAGGUGGAAUUUGGUGCACCGCUCAU
rnacentral:lncRNA from 1 species